UUAUAAGAGACAGCAGCAGCCGCGGUAAUACGAAGGGUGCAAGCGUUAAUCGGAAUUACUGGGCGUAAAGCGUGCGUAGGCGGUUUGUUAAGUCUGUUGUGAAAUCCCCGGGCUCAACCUGGGAAUGGCAAUGGAUACUGGCAAGCUAGAGUGUGUCAGAGGAUGGUGGAAUUCCCGGUGUAGCGGUGAAAUGCGUAGAGAUCGGGAGGAACAUCAGUGGCGAAGGCGGCCAUCUGGGACAACACUGACGCUGAGGCACGAAAGCGUGGGGAGCAAACAGGAUUAGAUACCCCCGUAGUCCCUGUCUCUUAUAC
rnacentral:rRNA from 1 species